GGGGUUUCCACUUUUGCUUUCUCCUCAUUUUUCUCUUGCCGCCACCACGAAAGAAGUGCCUUUUGCCUCCCGUCAUGAUUCUGAGGCCUCCCCAGCCAUGUGGAACUAAACAACCUCUUACUCUGAAAUCAAGUGACUUAAAGAUACAUCUGCUGAGAAGACUUUUUUUCUGCAGCAAUUUAUCCGAACAGCUAAGUACAUCUUGGAGGUGUCCGUUGAUUUUUAAUAAGGAAGAGCUAUUUUUCAAGCUCCUAUGUGGCAAAUCCCAUCAGUAUGCAUGGAAACCAGCUACAGGAACAAUGAUCCUCCAGCUACCUCACAGGGCUGGCACAGGGGGUCACUGCCUUGUGGAUUGCCCAGCUGUGUCGGGCAACCUGGACCCUAUCUGUGGGGAUGUAAAGAGGAAAAUACAAAAGUCUCCAUGAGGGCACUGGGAAGAUAGUGGCACUGUGGCCUCGUUGUGGCUCUGAAAAUGAAGAUUUGGAAGGAGUUCAUCACAGCUAAUGUUUAACAAGACCCUACUGUAUGCCAAAUCAUUCACCCCUUGCAACAACUUAAUAAGCUAGGGAUUCGUAUUAGAUAUAUUUUACAGAAAAGGAAACAGAGACAUAAAGAGGUGAAUGAACUUGCCCAGAUGGCACAGCUAAUAAGUGGUGGAGGCAGAACAGAAUCUACACAGUGUGGCUCUGGAGCCCACAUUCAUUGAUUCCGCAAGUGUUUAUUGAGCACCUGCCAUGUACAAGGUUUGAGGCACAGAGCUGUAUAUACAAUAACAGUGAAAUUGAUCCCACUACUAAUUAUGACAAAAAUGAUCUUCCACGUAAACAGGUUAGAUGUUUUCUAGUGAGCCUCUGUUCCCAUUCUACAGGUGGUGAAGCUCCUUAUGGUCCUGACCCUACAGUUCCUGUCCCAUGACCAGGGCCAGAUCACCAAGGAGCUGCAGCAGUUCGUCGUCAGUGGCAGCCCCAUGCGAGCACCCGAGGAAGUACACUGGUGACAUGAUGCUAUAUUCUUGGGCAAGUACGUGGGUGAUAUAUUCCUGUAUUCUUGGACAAGUACACUGGUGACAUGUAGCUGUAUUCAGAGCCCUGGAAGCUGGGAAGUCAAAGAUCAAGGUGCUGGUGUCUGGUGUGGGCCUUCUUACUGUGUCCUUACAUGUUGGGAGGCAGAAGGGCAAGAGAGCAUGAAAUGGUGUCCUCACAUGGAAGAAAAGCAGAAGAAGGUGAAUGCUGGGCUGGCUUUUACUGCCCGCAUCAUGGGGGGCGCCUCGCCCCCCUCCGAUGGGGGUCCUAAGAGCCAGGGGGGCAAGAGGGGCUGGCUCUUACUGCCCGCAUGGCGGGGGGCGCCUCGCCCCCCUGUGAUGGGGGGUCCUAAGAGCCAGGGGGGCAAGAAGGGCUGGCUCUUACUCCCCGCAUCGCGGGGGGGGGGCCUCGCCCCCCUGCGAUGGGGGUCCUAGAAGCCAGGGGGCAAGAGUGGCUGGUUCUUACUCCCUGCAUCGCGGGGGGCGCCUCGCCCCCCUGCGAUGGGGGGUCCUAAGAGCCAGGGGGGGCCGGGCGCGGUGGCUCACGCCUGUAAUCCCAGCACUUUGGGAGGCCGAGGCGGGUGGAUCAUGAGGUCCGGAGAUCAAGACCACCCUGGCUAACACGGUGGAACCCCGUCUCUACUAAAAAUACAAAAAAUUAGCCCGACGUAGUGGUGGGCGCCUGUAGUCCCAGCUACUCCGGAGGCUGAGGCAGGAGAAUGGCGUGAACCCGGGAGGCGGAGCUUGCAGUGAGCCGAGAUCGCGCCAAUGCACUCCGGCCUGGGCAACAGAGCCAGACUCCGUCUCAAAAAAAAAAAAAAGAGCCAGGGGGGCAAGAGGGGCUGGCUCUUACUCCCCGCAUCGCGGGGGGCGCGGCGCUCCCCUGCGAUUUGUAUCGUAAUAUCCGGGGGGGAGAGGCGGGUGAUAUUACUUCCCGCAUCGCGGCGGGCGCCCUCUCCCCACUGCGAUGUGGCUCUUAAUAUCCAGCGGGGGAGAGAGGGUGAUAUUACUCCCUUUCUCCUAGUAUUUUUUCUCUACUGCCACACUUGGUUAACACCCUGGGACAUUAUUUUCCAUAUUCUAGGAAGGUGUCACUGUUUAAGUUCCAGGGGGUAUACACCCUGUGAUAUUAUUCGUGAUAUUGUAGCGAAAUGUGAAUCCUGAUGUCACAAGUCUCUACACACUCUGAUAUUAUUCGCAAUACCCUAGCGGGACGUUAAUAAUAAUGUCACAAUGUGUGUACAGCUUGUGCUAUUAUUAUUAAUCUCCUAAGGGGAGGUUGAUUUUAUUGUCACACGGAGUAUUUUCCCUUUGGUAUGAUUCGGAAUAUCCUGGAGGGAUGUCACUCCUUAUGUCACAGGGUUCGUACACCUUGUCAAAUUACUCGUAUUACCCUUAUAAGUUAUCACUCCUCAUAUCACCGAGGGUGUACACUCUGUGAUACUAUCGUCAUAUUCUAGGGAAAUGUUGCUUUUUAUGUCACAGAUGUUGCACACCUUGUGAAAUUUUUCGUUAUAGUUUUGUGGGAUGUGACUCCUAACGUCACACGGGGUGUACACACAGUGAUAUUACGUGUAAUAUUCUAUAGAAAUGUUACUCGUAAAUCACAGGUCCUGUACACACUUUAAUAUUCUUCGUCGUAUUCUAGGAAAACGUGACUACUAACGUCACAGGGCGUGUAGACCCUGUCAUAAAAUUCGUAAUAUCCCAGCAGGAGUUCACUACUAAUUUCACAAUGCGUGUACAGCCUUUGAUAUUGUUCGUAUUAUCCUUAAGAGAUGUGACUACUGAUCUCCCAAUGCAUGUACAUUCUCUGAUAUUAUUCGUUAUAUCCUCGGGGGAUAUGACUUCUAAUGUCAUAUGGCGUGUACUCCCUGUGUUCUAUUUCAUAGUAUCCUAGGGCAAUUGUAUUGUUAAUGACACAGGGGGUGUACACAUUGUGAUAUUAUUCAUGAUAUUCUAGAAGGAUGUUACUCCUAAUGUCACGGGGGUGUACACCCUGUGAUAGUAUUCAUAAUUUCCCAGGGGUCUAUAUUCCUAAUGUCACAGAAGAUAACACCCUGUGACAUUAUUUGUAAUAUUCUGAUGAGAUGAUUCUCCUAAUAUCACAGGGGGUGUACACCCUGUGAUAGUAUUCUUACUAUUCUAGGGCGAUGGCACUCUUAAUGUCACAGGUAUGUUCCUUCUGUGAUAUUAUUGAAAAUAUGCUAGCUGGAUACUACUACUAAUGUCACAAUGCGUGUACACCUUGUGAUAUUAUUAGUAAUAUUCUGGGGGGAUGUUACCCCUAACGUUACAGGGGUGUACACCGUGUGAUAUUGCUCCCAAUAUUGUAGGGGGAUGUUACUCCUAAUGUCACAGUGGGUGUACAGCCUUCGAUAUUAUUUGUAAUCUUAUGGAGAGAUAUUACUUUAAUGAUCACAGUGGGUGUACAUACAUGGGCUACAACCACUGGGAUAUUAUUUGUAAUAUCUUAGGGAGAUAUAACUCCUAAUAUCACAGUGGGUGUACCCCAUGUCAUUGUAAACAUUACUUCUAGUAUCCCACAGAGGGUACACCCUGUGAUAUUUUUCAUAAUAUCAUAGGGAGAUAUUGCUUCUAAUAAUACAGUGGGUGUACACCAUGUGUGUACACUCUGUGAUGUGAUAGCUUAUAUCCUAGGGAGAUAUUCCUUCUAAUAUCACAGUGAGUGUGCACCCUGUGAUAUCAUUCGUAAUCUAGAAAGAUGUUGCUGGUAAUAUCACAGAUGGUGUGCCCCCAGUGACAUCAUUCGAAAUAUCCUAGGGAGAUGUUACUCGUAAUGUCACAGGGGUUGUACACCCUGUUAUAUUAUUGUAAUAUUCUAGGGGGGUGUUACUUUUAAAGUCAAAGGGGUGUACACUCUGUGAUGUUAUUCGUAAUAUCAUAGGAAGGGGUUAUUCCUAAUAUCACAUGGGUUAUCCUAGGAAGAGGUUACUCCUAAUAUCACACUCCUCAUAUCACAGCCUGUGAUAGCAUUCGGAAUAUCCAAAAGGGAUGGUACUUUUAAUGUCACAUGGGGUGCACACCCUUUGAUAAUAUUCGUAAGAUCCUAGGGACAUAUGACUUCAAAUAUCACAUUGGGUGUACACACAUGGUGUACACAUUGUGUGUGAACACCUCCAGUGAUAUUAUCCAUAAUAUCCUAGGAAAAUGGGACUCCUAAUAUCACGGUCAGUGGACACCCUGUGAUAUUAUUGGUAAUAUCCUAAAGAGAUGUUACCACUGAGGUCACAAUGUAUGUACGCCCCCUGAUAUUAUUCGUUAUAUCCUCGGGGGAUGUUACUCCUAAUGUCACACGGGGUGUACUCCCUGUGAUAUUAUUCGUAAUAUCCUAGGGGGAUGUUACUUUCAGUGUCACCGGGGGUGUAUAUCAUGCGUAUUCAACGCCUGUGAUACUAUUCCUAAUAUCCUAGGGGCAUGUUCCUCCUAAUGUCACAUGGGGUGAACACCAUAUGUGUACGCCUGCUGUGAUAUUAUUCAUAAUAUCCUAGGGGAAUAUUACUCCUGAUGGCACAGGAGAUGUACACCAUGUGUGUCAACCGCCUGUGUCAUUAUUCGUAAUAUCCUAGGGAGAUGUUUCCUUGAAUGGCACAAAGUGUGCGCAAAAGGUCACAGAAGGUGUGCACCUUGUGAUGUUAUCUGCAAUAGAUCACACAGCGGGCGCCUACGAUCGGCUUAAUCAUCAUUCACUUCCAUCGGAUCAACUGGAAAUCAAGUCAGGUGAGAGUGCUGAGUCUCAGAGGAUGGACGUCUCACCCCUUGCCAUACAGAGAAGUAGAAAGGGUGGUAUUCAAAAUUCAUGGCCAGACUCGAAGUCCCGGGUACUAUACUUCCUGGUCUUCCAACUCUCAAAAAGUUGUGGGUUUUUUUUUGUUUUUGUUUUUGUUUUUGUUGUUUUGAGAUGGAGUCUCAUUCCAUUGCCCAGGCUGGAGUGCAAUGGAGUGAUCUCUGCUCACUGCAACCUCUGCAUCCCAGGUUCAAGCUAUUCUCCUGCCUCAGCCUGCCAAGUAGCUGAGAUGACAGGCGCCCGCCACUACGCCUGGCUCAUUUUUUUCUAUUUUGAGUAGAGACGUGGUUUGGUCUCGAAUUCCUGACCUUGUGAUUCGCCUGCCUCAGCCUCCCAAAGGGCUGGGAUUACAGGCAUGAGCCACGGCUCCCAGCUUCCAAAAGUUUUAAGCAGAGCUCAGAGGUCUUAACCACAGGCACAUCGGAGGAGCAUUUUUGAAACGCUUUCCAGCUUCCUCAAUAGGAAUGGAAGCCAAACUGAAUUGAUGACUCCUUUGAGGAAGUCGAGAGCUGUAAGGAAAGCCAGGAACAGGGGCAAGGGAGAGAUGCGCCCCGAAUGAUCCUGUGCCAAUUCUUUCUGGAAUCCUCGAUGUGAUCUCAGCUGCCCUUUCUAUACUUGACACAGUGAUUGUGGCACCCACUGGUCUAGCUCUGGUCUACAAGGAACGCGCAAAGGGAAGGGCACAGUGAGCAGGGGCAUCCGCCUGAGUGAUGAGGAUUUGAGAGGGCAGGUUGGUUGUAGGGAGAGGACUGGCCAAAUGCCAUGUGUCUGGACUUAGACUGGAUGGUUCAAAUUGGACUUCACCCUUUUUGACUUCAUGAUCUAGUAAGAGUUAUAUGGAAAAGCGUUGCUCCUUUUCUAGUCUGUAAAAUCAUCCUGAAAUGUGCACUAAUAACGUGGAGACCAUGCAGAUGAAAUGAAACAAGCUGCAUAGAGCACAGAGCUCAGAGCCUGGCCUUUAGGAAGCCCUCAGUAACCCAAACAUCUCAGUGGAGUAAAGAAUAACAAGGCAGCAUUGCUGCAAACAUGUCUCACCUCCCACCAUAGGCCGGUUUUUCCCCCAUCUCAGAAUUGAACAAAUGUACAAUCGGGUUUUAUACUGAGACAUUCAGUUCCCAGGGGCAGGCAGGAGACAGUGGCCUUCCUCUCCCUCAACUGCAAGCGGCUUUCCUCUUUGACUAAUCCACCUCAGCACAGACCCUUUAUGGGUGUCGGGCUCGGGGACGGUCAGGUCUUUCUCAUCCCACGAGGCCACUUUUCAGACUAUCACAUGGGGAGAAACCUUGGACAAUAAACGGCUUUCAAGGGCAGGGCUCCCUGCAGCUUUCCACAGUGUAUCGUGCCCCUGGUUUAUUGAGACUAGAGAAUGGCGAUGACUUUUACCAAGUAUACUGCUUGGAAACAUCUUGUUAACAAGGCAUGUCCUGCACAGUCCUAGAUCCCUUAAACCUUGAUUUCCUACAACACAUGUUUUUGUGAGCUUCAGGUUGGGUCAAAGUGGCUGGGGCAAAGCUACACAUUAACAACAUCUCAGCAAAGCAAUUGUUGAAAGUACAGGUCUUUUUCAAAAUGGAGUCUCUUAUGUCUUUCCUUUCUACAUAGACACAGUAACAGUCUGAUCGCUCUUUCUUUUGCCUACACUCACUGAACUGCCCUUCCCCUUUGCUGGGCCAUGACCACGGGGAACAGGUCCACUGUCCUCCCUGCGUGGUGCACGAUGGAUGCUCAGACUCCAUCCUCAAGGCUGGCAAGAAGACACGUUGAGACAUGUGCCUCCUGAUACAGGUGAUGGCUGUGGAGCCCACAGGACUGGAACCUCACACUGCAGGGCUGGAGGCACAGGCCAUUUACUGUUCUGUGCCCUGGGGGGCUCAAGGCACAGAGCUCCUCAUUAGCCAAAGUCACCCAAGUUCCCCAACCUCUUAAAGAUUUCCUCAUCAUCAUGCAAGAAGAAGAGAAAAGUGAGUGUCCAUAGAAGCUUUGGGGCUCUUCCUCUAAUCAGGAGAAAGCUGGUGUGUAUUCUUCGCUUCUUUCUUUGCUUUUUAAAGAUCCAACUGCUUUAAUUUUCAUCUUUUAUUAUGGGAAAAUAUACCACGUAUAAAUAUUAAAAAUUAUAAAUAUAUAUUAGUGCAUAUAGAAUGGCCAGUAUAAACAUUUACAGUUUCCACUCUUUUUCAGUUUACAGUUUAAUGACAUUAAGUAUGUUCACAUUGUUUAGCAACCAUCACCGCCAUCAUCUCCGGAACAGUUUUAUUUUUCAAAAUGGAAAUUGCAACCAUUCGCCAAGCUCUCCACUCCUCUCUCUCGCCUACCCCUGGGGGCCACCUUUCUAGUUUGCAACUCUAGGAGUCUAACUACUCUAGACACUUGAUAGAUAAGUGGAAUCAUACCGUGUUUAAUUUUUUUUUUUAGAGGUAGAAUCUUUCUCUGUCACCCAGGCUGGAGUGCAGUGGCGUGAUCUCGGCUCACUGCAACUUCCACUUCGGGGGCUCAAGCAAUUCUUAUGUCUCAGUCUCCCGAGUAGCUGGGAUUACAGGCGUGCGCUAUCAUGCCCAGCUAAUUUUUGUAUUUUUAAUAGAGACGAGCUUUCACCAUAUUGGCCAGGCUGGUCUCGAACUCCUGAGCUUAAGGGAUCCACCUGUCUCAGCCUCCCAAAAUGCUGGGGUUACAGGUGUGAGCCACUGAGCCUGGGCAUGUUUAUCCUUUUGGGAUUUAUUUAUUUCACUGACGAUAAUGUCUUCAAGGUUCAUCCAUGUUGCGGCCUGCAUCAGAAGUGCCUGUUUGUUUUUGUUGUUUUUUUUUGUUUGGUUUUAUUUUGUUUUGUUUUGCGUUUUCAUGGAGUCUUACUCUGUCGCACCGGCUGGAGUGCAGUGGCACAAUCUGGGCUCACUACAACCUCCGCCUCCCGGGUUCGAGCGAUUCUUGUGCCUCAGCUUCCUGAGUAGCUGAGAUUAGAGGUGCAUGCCACCACACCAGCUAAUUUUUGUAUUUUUAGUAGAGAUGGGGUUUGCCAUGUUGGCCAAGCUGGUCUUGAACUCGUGAGCUCAGGUGAUCCACACGCCUCAACUUCCCAAAGUGUUAGGAUUACAGACGUUAGCCACUGUGCCCAGCCCAAGGAUGUGUAUAUUUUCUAUAGAGUUUUGAUGAUAAUACUUUGACAGCAAAUAUAUUGUGACUAUAUAUAUAUAGUCACAGGUGCCCAGGCCGGAGUGCAGUGGCGUGAUCUCGGCUCGCUACAACCACCACCUCCUAGCAGCCUGCCUUGGCCUUCCAAAGUGCUGAGAUUGCAGCCUCUGCCCAGCCGCCACCCCGUCUGGGAAGUGAGGAGCGUCUCUGCCUGGCCGCCCAUCGUCUGGGAUGUGAGGAGCCCCUCCGCCCAGCAGCCGCCCCGUCUGAGAAGUGAGGAGCCCCUCAGCCCGGCAGCCACCCCAUCUGAGAAGUGAGGAGCCCCUCCACCUGGCAGCCACCCCGUCUGGGAGGUCUUGUGAAAUUCCUUCUCCUGGCUCAUCCUGGCUCAAAACCUCCCCCACUGAGUACCUUGUGACCCCCAUUCUGCCCGCCAGAGAACAACCCCCCUUUAACUGUAAUUUUCCUUUACCUACCCAAAUCCUAUAAAAUGGCCCUACCCCUAUCUCCCUUCUCUGACUCUCUUUUCACUCAGCCUGCCUGCACCCAUGUGAAAUAAACAGCUUUAUUGCUCACACAAAGCCUGUUUGGUGGUAUCUUCACACGGACGCGCAUGAAACUGGAGUCCUCACGCCCACCAGCCCAGAGUGCUCUCUAGAGGAAGGCUACAGACACCUCCUGGCUCACUCAUCCAGACGUUAGCUGUCUUGCUGAAACUCCUUUUUUCACCCUUGAAAACCACUGGAAGAAUGACCAAGAACCCAGCUAUCCUGAGUCUAGAUGAAAAAAAUGACAAGGCUCUGGAGAAGCAGAACCACAAGAUGGAGGAUACCUGGGUCCCAGGUUCAUGAGGAGAGGAGCUGCCUGCUCCACAGACUGGCACGGCUGUGACCGUCUAUGACAAGCCAGCAUCUUUCUUUCAAGAGACCUCUGGACCUGCAGCACCAACUCUUCAUGAAGCUGGGCGGCACGCACUCUCCGUUCAGGGCCUGAACCUGAGGACCCAGACACGGAGCGGUCGGCCUUCAUGGAGCGGGAUGCUGGGAGCGGGCUGGUGAUGCGCCUCCGCGAGCGGCCAGCCCUGCUGGUCAGCAGCACAGGCUGGACAGAGGACGAAGACUUCUCCAUCUGCUGGCAGCUUUAGAAAGUAGGUAGUUUGAACAACUGACUCUUGAUGGACACAACCUUCCUUCUCUCGUCUGUGUGAUAACAGGCAAAGGGCCUCCGAGGGAGUAUUACAGCCGCCUCAUCCACCAGAAGCAUUUCCAGCACAUCCAGGUCUGCACCCCUUGGCUGGAGGCCGAGGACUACCCCCGCUUCUAGCAGCAGGGUCGGUGGAUCUGGGUGUCUGUCUGCACACGUCCUGCAGUGGCCUGGACCUGCCCAUGAAGGUGGUGGACAUGUUCGGGUGCUGUUUGCCUGUGUGUGCCGUGAACUUCAAGUGGCAGGAGCAGAACCCGAAUCUUUCUGGGGAUAGCUUCACAGAUCCACCGCUGAGGAGGAAACAGUGCAGAGCGAGCUGCCCACAGUGAGGCCCUGCUCCUGGUUUACAUGAGCUGGUGAAACAUGAAGAAAAUGGCCUGGUCUUUGAGGACUCAGAGGAACUGGCAGCUCAGCUGCAGGUGCUUUUCUCAAACUUUCCUGAUCCUGCGGGCAAGCUAAACCAGUUCCGGAAGAACCUGCGGGAGUCGCAGCAGCUCCGAUGGGAUUAGAGCUGGGUGCAGACUGUGCUCCCUUUGGUUAUGGACACAUAACUCCUGGGCCAGAGGCUAAAACCCCGGGACCCCUGCUGUCCUUCCCACAGCUUCUUCUCAGAGUCUCAGGGCAAAUCCUUUCGAGCAGCGCCUCCCAGUGGCCAGAAGCUGAAAUGAUGGCAGUAGUGCCACCUGGUGAAUGAAUUGGUUCUGUGACCCGGGAAGCUGUGCUUGGCUCUGAUUUCUUUUCUGGAGGCUCGGAAACACUUCCUCUCUUCUUCUGUUCUUCACGCCCCAUGCCCCUGCUAGCGUAUUACUGUUCUGUGACUUCCCUGUGACCUCUGCAGUACUCCUCAUCCUGCGUUUGGUCUCCAGGUGUCACCUUUCUGCCGUGUUCCUAACAUUUUGAUUCCUGUCUUGAAAAAAGCACCUGCUGCACCAUAAGCCCAGGGAUGUGGCAGCUGCAGCGGGCUUGGCUUUGUGAAGAACCGAGUGUGUCCAGGGAUGUGGCAGCUGCAGCAUCGAGUGUGUCCACCGAUGUGGCAGCUGCAGCGGGCUUGGCUUUGUGAAGAACCGAGUGUGUCCACCGAUGUGACAGCUGCAGCGGGCUUGGCUUUGUGAAGAACCGAGUGUGUCCACCGAUGUGGCAGCUGCAGCGGGCUUGGCUUUGUGAGGAACCGAGUGUGUCCAGGGAUGUGGCAGCUGCAGCGGGCUUGGCUUUGUGAGGAACCGAGUGUGUCCAGGGAUGUGGCAGCUGCAGCGGGCUUGGCUUUGUGAAGAACCGAGUGUGUCCAGGGAUGUGGCAGCUGCAGC
rnacentral:lncRNA from 1 species